rnacentral:lncRNA from 1 species
CUCAGAACCUAUUGGGUUCACAAGCAGAAUGUUGUCCAGGCUGUUCAGUGUAUUUCUGACGGAGAAUCAAACACAUGCAAAGACCAGUCCAAGCCUUCUCUCGGGAUGUACAAAGAGAAGGAAGAAAUAGCCCUGGGAGUUUGUUCUGAAGACAUCAUCACAACCUUCCACUACCACUGAUGAGGAAAAGAGAAUGAAGUGUUUGGAGAAGUUAAAAAUUGUUCUCCACAAGAUUUAAAAUGAGAGAGGAACUCUAGGAAAUCCCUUCCCAUUAGCCACGCAAAGAUCUAAGUAACAGCUCUGACGACUCACAUUUUUUGUUGACAGUCCUGAGAUGUCUGUUCAGCCAAUAUUUCCUCACAUCACAGGAAACUACUAGUCCAGGGUAUCCUAAUCGUCAAAAUCAUUUUCCUGAUUCCAUCUUAAACACAGAAUGUUAAAUUCACAUAGGAUUGAGACGGGGGCCAAGGUAUUUUGAUUCCUCCAAGAGUAAAUCAUAUCCUUUGGCCUGAAUCACAAUCUGGGAAUAAGAAUAUAAGUGUGUGAGAUCUGAUUAUGUACUUUAAGAAGCCUGGACGGUUGUUGACUUGUGGAAAUUUUUGGGUGCUGUGUUUAUGACCAAUCAUUGUUGUAAUUGACAUUGAGGUGCUUUGGGUUCAAUUGGUGCUGUGAAUAGCUGGAGGAGCCUAAUCCCACUCUCUGCCUCUCAGUGUGUGACUGGAUUGGCAACAGGUUAUCAUUGGUUUUGUCUGAUUUUGUUCAUUGUAUUUGAAAUAAUGCCACAUCAUUGUAGUUUUGGCAUUCUAAGUGUGUUGUGCGUGUGUGCGUGUGCGUGUGUGUGUGUUUGUGUGUGUGUGUGUGUGUGUGUGAAUGUGUUUGUGUGUAUCCCUUAAGAUCUGAGAUUCUAUGACCUUGACUUGGCCUGAGAAUUAGCCUGACUCAAUGUCCAUGGCAUGAUAGUCAUCAGUCUGAGGGCCUCACUUUGAGCAGAACAGCAUUUGACCUCUGCUCACCUUGGAAGCACAUUGGAAUCUCUUGCCUCAGGCACUGCCUGCUCCUAAGUGAGGCUAUUCCGAUGAAGCACAGUAUAAAGAGAGCAUGGGAUGAGAACAGAGAGCUUCUGUGGGAUCAGUUUGCACUGGAAGCAUCCAUUAAGGAAACAACCUGGUUCUGUGUGGAAGUCAAUAUGAAAAUCUAUGAUGUAUGUUCCAGGGAGGAUCAGGUAUGAUGAAUGAAGCAUCUGGGGUAGGUUUUCCUGUAAUCUAACAAAAAACCAAGUCAAACCAAUUCAACCAUUCUCCAACUUAUCCAGACACUCUUAUGUCACAUCAAGCUGUUCAUAUCUUUGAUCAUUUCCAAAACUUUCUCUGGUGUUAGCCUCAUGGAAGAAACUGGAGGAUUGACAGCCAAAUCCUCCUCAUCAACUGUAUACUACAUUUACUUAGGAGAGAUACAAUGAUCACACAUUGCGCACUUACAUGCCAUUAUGCUAGAGGCAUGCUAUGUGCUAGCAUAAUUUGUAGUGCACAGAAUUGAUUAAAGCCUAGUGAAAUUGCCUAAAGAAUGGUUAUCAUUUUCCAUUUGAUAGGGCUUCUGUCCUCUCAUGUCUUUUCCCCCUACAUUGCAAGAUGGUCCUUUCUGUGUACGAAGAUCCUGGUUCAUAGUGAUAGAGCUUGAGAAGCAGCCUGUCAGUCCUGUUUUAUGUAAGUGUUCUAGAGUUCUUUCCUAUAGCUUAUAUCCUGGAGCUGACUGGAUGAGGAGG